rnacentral:rRNA from 1 species
AUUGAACGCUGGCGGCAUGCUUUACACAUGCAAGUCGAACGGCAGCGCGGGCUUCGGCCUGGCGGCGAGUGGCGAACGGGUGAGUAAUACAUCGGAACGUGCCCAGUAGUGGGGGAUAGCUCGUCGAAAGCCGGAUUAAUACCGCAUACUACCUGAUGGUGAAAGCGGGGGAGCUUCGGACCUCGCGCUAUUGGAGCGGCCGAUGGCAGAUUAGCUAGUUGGUGGGGUAAAGGCCUACCAAGGCGACGAUCUGUAGCUGGUCUGAGAGGGCGACCAGCCACACUGGGACUGAGACACGGCCCAGACUCCUACGGGAGGCAGCAGUGGGGAAUUUUGGACAAUGGGGGAAAGCCUGAUCCAGCAAUGCCGCGUGUGUGAUGAAGGCCUUCGGGUUGUAAAGCACUUUUGGCGGGAACGAAAAGGACUGUGCCAAUACCACGGUUCGAUGACGGUACCCGCAGAAUAAGCACCGGCUAACUACGUG